rnacentral:rRNA from 1 species
UAGGGAAUCUUCCGCAAUGGACGCAAGUCUGACGGAGCAACGCCGCGUGAGUGAAGAAGGAUUUCGGUUCGUAAAACUCUGUUGUUAGAGAAGAACAGCGCAUAGAGUAACUGUUAUGCGUGUGACGGUAUCUAACCAGAAAGCCACGGCUAACUACGUGCCAGCAGCUGCGGUAAUACGUAGGUGGCAAGCGUUGUCCGGAUUUAUUGGGCGUAAAGCGAGCGCAGGCGGUCAAUUAAGUCUGAUGUGAAAUCCCCCGGCUCAACCGGGGAGGGUGAUUGGAAACUGGUUGACUUGAGUGCAGAAGAGGGGAGUGGAAUUCCAUGUGUAGCGGUGAAAUGCGUAGAUAUAUGGAGGAACACCAGUGGCGAAGGCGACUCACUGGUCUGUAACUGACGCUGAGGCUCGAAAGCGUGGGUAGCAAACAGG